UAGGAUGCUGACAUCUUUGUGUGUUGCUGU
rnacentral:piRNA from 1 species